AACUCUACUAAUGGAAUAUCUUCUUCUGAAAUUUUAUGUUCCAGCAUGACAAAGAAGUGCUUAUUCCCUAGAUAAACAUCAUCCUGUGUAGAGAGCUAUUCUCUUUGAACUUGUGUGAGCUGACUAAAGCUUUGUCACAAGUCUCUCUGGAGACAACUGACACUUCAGGCUGCUGGCAGAAGAACCCUUGAGGGGAUUUCUGCAAUCACUUCAACUGCACCAAAAAAAUCAGGUGUUCAUUGUUUUCCUUGAUGAUGGGCUGUGAAAGUUUGAAAAGCAAACAGUUCUGGAAACCUCUUUGGAAGAGAAAUGUGGGAGGACUCAAGCACUCCUCCCUCCAAUAGGAAACUACCAGCAGCUAAUGACCAUCUAGAGGACAACAUGUGAAGUAUGACAACCAUCUCUACACUGGAAAAAUUACUUGGAGCUUCAGUGAAAAAUCCUGUAAGGAGAACCACUAGGACCAGCAGGACCAGGAAGUCCAACGGGACCCUGUACUCCAUCACGCCCAGCGGGACCUUGAGGACCUUUUUCACCCUGGUUUUCAAGAAAAAGAAGUGAUCCACCAUUAUCACAGGAGAGUAAUGGAGAUUUCAGUACAGGGAGUCGUACUACCACUAAAAAAUAAUAGGAAAAGAGAAACAGAAAGGAAACUGUAACAGGAAGAGAAUGCAUCAGAAAAUUAUACUAAAUAAUAACGGAAGCCAAUGACAAAUACACGUCUACACUAAUACAGAGUGGCUGGGUACAAAGUUUUAAUGAAAGAAUGAUUUCACAGACUUUUAUAUCCAUUCCCUGCUGUGAUAAUAACAGGCUUAACCCUGCCUGGGUGUUACAGGUUAGGACAAUAAACAUUUUACUAUUUACUUAAUUGUAAAUGUAAAAGGACUAGAUCAGGUAUUCUGAGGAUAUGUUUAACAGGCAAAUACUGGAGUGGGGCCUGGAGGACCCUGAGGUCCAGGACGACCUGGUAGACCAAUUGGCCCAGCAGUGCCCGCUGCUCCACGUUCCCCUGGUGAACCCUGGAAAGAAAGAAGACAGUGCAAGAUAAUUCGAUACAAGCCUGAUAACUGCUGGUGGUUUUCAUGACUCGGGUCAACAGAGAAGACAAUCUAUUAUUCACUGAGAUUCCAUCUGGUAGAAGGAUACGCAUUCAGCAUGUGUGCAAGUAAGAAGAGGAACUGGUAGAGCAGCUUGGUCGGCACCUGGUGUGCAGUCAAGUAAACCCACCACAACAGCAUGAAUCCACUAUUGACUAUCCAUAGAUUUUCCACUAUGGAAGACCUCUUUCAUCUCAAUAAGGAGUUAGUGCCAAGUACUGAGCAACAAAUAAAUCCCAUACCUCCUGCUAGCAGAAGGCUUCAGAAGUUCAUAACCUUCACACUCCUUGAAUGUUUGUUAGUGUGUAACUAGUAGAAAAUAAUUAUUGAUCACUUCAAAUUACAUCUAUCUGCUGGUUUACAGACUGUGUUGAUGAAAACAUCACAGCAUGUAAAGAAGAAAAAAGGUUACUACAUAAUACUGUUUCUAUUUCCAUAAAGUUAUUAU